rnacentral:rRNA from 1 species
GGUUAAGCGAACAAGCGUACACGGUGGAUGCCCUGGCAGUCAGAGGCGAUGAAGGACGUGCUAAUCUGCGAAAAGCGCCGGUAAGGUGAUAUGAACCGUUAUAACCGGCGAUGUCCGAAUGGGGAAACCCGGUGCACUUCGGUGCAUCAUCGUUAGCUGAAUACAUAGGCUAACGAGGCGAACCGGGGGAACUGAAACAUCUAAGUACCCCGAGGAAAAGAAAUCAACCGAGAUUCCCCCAGUAGCGGCGAGCGAACGGGGAACAGCCCAGAGCCUGAAUCAGCUUGUGUGUCAGUGGAACGGUCUGGAAAGGCCGGCGAUACAGGGUGACAGCCCCGUACACGAAGGCACACAGGCUGUGAGCUCGAUGAGUAGGGCGGGACACGUGAUAUCCUGUCUGAAGAUGGGGGGACCAUCCUCCAAGGCUAAAUACUCCUGACUGACCGAUAGUGAACCAGUACCGUGAGGGAAAGGCGAAAAGAACCCCGGCGAGGGGAGUGAAACAGAACCUGAAACCGUGUACGUACAAGCAGUGGGAGCCUUCGUAAGAGGGUGACUGCGUACCUUUUGUAUAAUGGGUCAGCGACUUAUAUUCUGUAGCAAGGUUAACCGUAUAGGGGAGCCGAAGGGAAACCGAGUCUUAAUUGGGCGUUAAGUUGCAGGGUAUAGACCCGAAACCCGGUGAUCUAGCCAUGGGCAGGUUGAAGGUUGGGUAACACUAACUGGAGGACCGAACCGACUAAUGUUGAAAAAUUAGCGGAUGACCUGUGGCUGGGGGUGAAAGGCCAAUCAAACCGGGAGAUAGCUGGUUCUCCCCGAAAGCUAUUUAGGUAGCGCCUCGUGAACUCAUCUCCGGGGGUAGAGCACUGUUUCGGCUAGGGGGCCAUCCCGGCUUACCAACCCGAUGCAAACUGCGAAUACCGGAGAAUGUUAUCACGGGAGACACACGGCGGGUGCUAACGUCCGUCGUGAAGAGGGAAACAACCCAGACCGCCAGCUAAGGUCCCAAAGUCAUGGUUAAGUGGGAAACGAUGUGGGAAGGCCCAGACAGCCAGGAUGUUGGCUUAGAAGCAGCCAUCAUUUAAAGAAAGCGUAAUAGCUCACUGGUCGAGUCGGCCUGCGCGGAAGAUGUAACGGGGCUAAACCAUGCACCGAAGCUGCGGCAGCGACACUAUGUGUUGUUGGGUAGGGGAGCGUUCUGUAAGCCUGUGAAGGUGUGCUGUGAGGCAUGCUGGAGGUAUCAGAAGUGCGAAUGCUGACAUAAGUAACGAUAAAGCGGGUGAAAAGCCCGCUCGCCGGAAGACCAAGGGUUCCUGUCCAACGUUAAUCGGGGCAGGGUGAGUCGACCCCUAAGGCGAGGCCGAAAGGCGUAGUCGAUGGGAAACAGGUUAAUAUUCCUGUACUUGGUGUUACUGCGAAGGGGGGACGGAGAAGGCUAUGUCGGCCGGGCGACGGUUGUCCCGGUUUAAGCGUGUAGGCUGACUUUCCAGGCAAAUCCGGAAAGUUAAGGCUGAGGCGUGAUGACGAGGCACCACGGUGCUGAAGUGACAAAUGCCCUGCUUCCAGGAAAAGCCUCUAAGCAUCAGGUAACAUCAAAUCGUACCCCAAACCGACACAGGUGGUCAGGUAGAGAAUACCAAGGCGCUUGAGAGAACUCGGGUGAAGGAACUAGGCAAAAUGGUGCCGUAACUUCGGGAGAAGGCACGCUGACAUGUAGGUGAAGCCCCUGCGGGUGGAGCUGAAGUCAGUCGAAGAUACCAGCUGGCUGCAACUGUUUAUUAAAAACACAGCACUGUGCAAACACGAAAGUGGACGUAUACGGUGUGACGCCUGCCCGGUGCCGGAAGGUUAAUUGAUGGGGUUAUCGCAAGAGAAGCUCCUGAUCGAAGCCCCGGUAAACGGCGGCCGUAACUAUAACGGUCCUAAGGUAGCGAAAUUCCUUGUCGGGUAAGUUCCGACCUGCACGAAUGGCGUAAUGAUGGCCAGGCUGUCUCCACCCGAGACUCAGUGAAAUUGAACUCGCUGUGAAGAUGCAGUGUACCCGCGGCAAGACGGAAAGACCCCGUGAACCUUUACUACAGCUUGACACUGAACAUUGAGCCUUGAUGUGUAGGAUAGGUGGGAGGCUUUGAAGCGUGGACGCCAGUCUGCGUGGAGCCAACCUUGAAAUACCACCCUUUAAUGUUUGAUGUUCUAACCUGGCGCCGUAAUCCGGCGUGGGGACAGUGUCUGGUGGGUAGUUUGACUGGGGCGGUCUCCUCCCAAAGUGUAACGGAGGAGCACGAAGGUCAGCUAAUCCUGGUCGGACAUCAGGAGGUUAGUGCAAUGGCAUAAGCUGGCUUGACUGCGAGAGUGACGGCUCGAGCAGGUGCGAAAGCAGGUCAUAGUGAUCCGGUGGUUCUGUAUGGAAGGGCCAUCGCUCAACGGAUAAAAGGUACUCCGGGGAUAACAGGCUGAUACCGCCCAAGAGUUCAUAUCGACGGCGGUGUUUGGCACCUCGAUGUCGGCUCAUCACAUCCUGGGGCUGAAGUAGGUCCCAAGGGUAUGGCUGUUCGCCAUUUAAAGUGGUACGCGAGCUGGGUUUAGAACGUCGUGAGACAGUUCGGUCCCUAUCUGCCGUGGGCGCUGGAGAAUUGAGGGGGGCUGCUCCCAGUACGAGAGGACCGGAGUGGACGCAUCACUGGUGUUCGGGUUGUCAUGCCAAUGGCACUGCCCGGUAGCUAAAUGCGGAAGAGAUAAGUGCUGAAAGCAUCUAAGCACGAAACUUGCCCCGAGAUGAGUUCUCCCUGACUCCUUGAGAGUCCUGAAGGAACGUUGAAGACGACGACGUUGAUAGGCCGGGUGUGUAAGCGCAGCGAUGCGUUGAGCUAACCGGUACUAAUGAACCGUGAGGCUUAACCUU